AUUGAACGCUGGCGGCAGGCCUAACACAUGCAAGUCGAGCGGAUGAAGGGAGCUUGCUCCUGGAUUCAGCGGCGGACGGGUGAGUAAUGCCUAGGAAUCUGCCUGGUAGUGGGGGAUAACGUCCGGAAACGGGCGCUAAUACCGCAUACGUCCUGAGGGAGAAAGUGGGGGAUCUUCGGACCUCACGCUAUCAGAUGAGCCUAGGUCGGAUUAGCUAGUUGGUGGGGUAAAGGCCUACCAAGGCGACGAUCCGUAACUGGUCUGAGAGGAUGAUCAGUCACCCGGGAACUGAGACACGGUCCAGACUCCUACGGGAGGCAGCAGUGGGGAAUAUUGGACGAUGGGCGAAAGCCUGAUCCAGCCAUGCCGCGUGUGUGAAGAAGGUCUUCGGAUUGUAAAGCACUUUAAGUUGGGAGGAAGGGCAGUAAGUUAAUACCUUGCUGUUUUGACGUUACCAACAGAAUAAGCACCGGCUAACUUCGUG
rnacentral:rRNA from 1 species